rnacentral:sRNA from 1 species
GCCGGGCACAGUGGCGCAUGCCUGUAAUCCCAGAGGCUUGGGAGGCUGAGGCAGGAGGUAAGUUCAAAGCCAGCCUCAGCAAAAGUGAGGCACUAAGCAACUCAGUGAGACCCUGUCUCUA